GCCGGGAUAGCUCAGUAGGCAGAGCAGAGGUUUCGUAAACCUCAGGUCGUGGGUUCAAAUCCCACUCCCGGCU
rnacentral:tRNA from 1 species